AUUGAACGCUGGCGGUAGGCCUAACACAUGCAAGUCGAGCGAGCGGCGGACGGGUGAGUAAUGUCUGGGAAACUGCCUGAUGGAGGUGGAUAACUACUGGAAACGGUAUCUACUACUGCCUACCAUCAUAUGUGCCCAGAUGGGAUUGGCUUGUAGGUUGGGUAACGGCUCACCUAGGCGACGAUCCCUAGCUUGUCUGAGAGGAUGACCAGCCACACGAGAUCUGAGACGAGGUCCAGACUCCAACGGGAGGCAGCGGAGGGGAGUAGUGCACAGUGGGCGCAAGCCUAGUGCAGCCAAGCCGCGUGGAUGAAGAAGGCCUGCGGGUUGUAGAGUAAUUUCAGCUGGGAGGAGUUACCAGCAGAAGAAGCACCGGCUAACUCCGUGCCAGCAGCCGCGGUAAUAC
rnacentral:rRNA from 1 species